CAGGCAACUAAGACAAUCAUGGGGAUCACACUGUGUUCCUUCCAGAAAUCCAGAAAGCCUCACAGCCAAGCUGGUACUGGCAAAGACAAUGAUAAUUCUCAUGAGAAAGGUAAUCUUGGUGUGGUGAAGAGGGUUUGCAUGGAAUCAGAAGAAUGGGCAAAGAUUCCUCUGCAAGAUGAGUGAAAAUGAUAGAAAUCCUCCAGAAGGAAAAGAACUGGAUUAUGAAACAACGUGAGUAUUAGAGCUGAUUCUGUGCAAAAUAAU
rnacentral:lncRNA from 1 species